rnacentral:rRNA from 1 species
CGUAGGGUGCGAGCGUUAAUCGGAAUUACUGGGCGUAAAGCGUGCGCAGGCGGUUAUAUAAGACAGAUGUGAAAUCCCCGGGCUCAACCUGGGAACUGCAUUUGUGACUGUAUAGCUAGAGUACGGCAGAGGGGGAUGGAAUUCCGCGCGUAGCAGUGAAAUGCGUAGAUAUGCGGAGGAACACCGAUGGCGAAGGCAAUCCCCUGGGCCUGUACUGACGCUCAUGCACGAAAGCGUGGGGAGCAAACAGGAUUAGAUACCCUGGUAGUCCACGCCCUAAACGAUGUCAACUGGUUGUUGGGUCUUCACUGACUCAGUAACGAAGCUAACGCGUGAAGUUGACCGCCUGGGGAGUACGGCCGCAAGGUUG